rnacentral:sRNA from 1 species
CCGUGGGGACCUGGUCCGGGGAGAUGAAGUGGAUGUGGGUGUCCACGCCGCCGGCGGUGAGGAUCUUGCGUUCGCCCGCGAUGAUUUCAGUGCUGGCGCCGAUCACAAUAUCCACGCCGUCGGUGAUCUGCGGGUUGCCCGCCUUGCCGAUCUUGAAGAUAUGCCCGUCCCUGAGGGCCACGUCAGCCUUGUAGAUGCCGGUGUAGUCCAGGAUCACCGCGUUGGCGAUCACGGUGUCCGGGAUGUCGUCGUCGCGGACCGCCUGGCCGUUCUGGCCCAUGCCGUCGCGG